rnacentral:rRNA from 1 species
UACAGAGGUCCCAAGCGUUGUUCGGAUUUACUGGGCGUAGAGGGCGCGUAGGCGGGCGCAACAAGUCACUUGUGAAAUCUCCGGGCUUAACCCGGAGCGGCCAAGUGAUACUGUCGUGCUAGAGUGCGGAAGGGGCUACUGGAAUUCUCGGUGUAGCGGUGAAAUGCGUAGAUAUCGAGGGGAACACCUGCGGCGAAGGCGGGUAGCUGGGCCGACACUGACGCUGAGGCGCGAAAGCCAGGGGAGCGAACGGG